rnacentral:rRNA from 1 species
GAUGAACGCUGGCGGCGUGCCUAAUACAUGCAAGUCGAGCGAAUGGAUUAAGAGCUUGCUCCUAUGAAGUUAGCGGCGGACGGGUGAGUAACACGUGGGUAACCUGCCCAUAAGACUGGGAUAACUCCGGGAAACGGGGGCUAAUACCGGAUAACAUUUGGAACCGCAUGGUUCGAAAUUGAAAGGAGGCUUCGGCUGUCACUUAUGGAUGGACCCGCGUCGCAUUAGCUAGUUGGGGAGGUAACGGCUCACCAAGGCAACGAUGCGUAGCCGACCUGAGAGGGUGAUCGGCCACACUGGGACUGAGACACGGCCCAGACUCCUACGGGAGGCAGCAGUAGGGAAUCUGCCGCAAUGGACGAAAGUCUGACGGAGCAACGCCGCGUGAGUGAUGAAGGCUUUCGGGUCGUAAAACUCUGUUGUUAGGGAAGAACAAGUGCUAGUUGAAUAAGCUGGCACCUUGACGGUACCUAACCAGAAAGCCACGGCUAACUACGUGCCAGCCGCCGCAGUAA